rnacentral:lncRNA from 1 species
ACACACCUUAAAGUCGAAGCCGUCAUCUCUCUGCGUAUACAGAAGUAUCGACCUGAGCUCUCACGGCCCUCGCACAUAACCCUUUAACAGAUAUCAGCUGUGGUAUACUCACCUGUAAGACUGAAUACUGGGGUCUGGAUACGGGAGUAUAUACUGAGGUGGGACACAUGCAGAUGUUUAAGUUCUAAAACACUAAUUCAGUAUCCCGAACAGGUUGAAAGUUUUUGUGAGAAUUUAAGUGGAUCAAAAUAUCGACAAUCAACGUGAACUGUUUAAAAGCUUAAAAUGAAAUAAGCUAGUGUCUAGUCAGCAGCUGAUAUGAUCCUCUUGCAUGAACUCACAAAAAUAUGUUUGUAUAUAUUUCAUUUCUGCAUUUUAAUUGUUGUUACUGCAUUUGUGUUUCACGUUUGAAAAAUCCAAAAAGAUUUCGACAACUGAUGUUGGAGAGCUGAAAUUCAAAAUCUCAAAGGCUAAACAAGAUGAAUAGUUGGUUUGGUUAAAGUGAUUUGAAAUGGUGAAUCAGAUUUUGGAAAGUUUAAUAAAUUGUUAAAUGUGAAAAAUUCUUGAAUAUUCUUAAAUGAUUAGUUUCUGAUCCUGUUGCUACGGAAAGCCAGGAGAUACAUCAGAACCUGAGAAGAAGUUUAAACUGAUAAAGCCAGGAGUUGAUUUCAAUGGUGAUAACGAUUUCCAGACGGCGAUCCCAGCAUGAUGAUAGGGGGAGUCUGAUGAAAGUUAGAGCCAGAAAAAGAUCCGGGUACAUAAUUCCAGGAAGAGUUCCUAAAGAAGACCGAUUAAGAGUGAAUAGCUGUUAAUGUUUGAAGACUCUCACUGAAGAUUCCGUCAACAUUCAAGGGGGAGUCUGUUGGUGCAGUUGUCUGUCGACUACAUCCCCGUUCGAGUCUUAGUUAAAGAAAGACAAGCCACUACGAGUUUAACUACGAAUUGACUGCGGCAAUAUCCAAGGGGGAGUUUGUUGAUGCAUUUAUUGUCUAUCGCCUUCGUCAAUUCGUGUCGUAGUGAAAAGCCGGAAGAAAUCAAGCUCAUAAUGUCACAAGUAGAUAAAAUUAGCAAGGUGUCAUUUUGGUAAUUAAUGAGAAAUCUCAUUAAUUCCAGUGACAUAUAAAUAGGAGAGUUAUGUCAUAAGUUGUAAGGCUUGGAAGACUUUUAGAAGACUUAGCUCUCAUUUGUUGUUUUGGUGAUCCAAAUUUAGAGAGAGAAAGUCUAGAGAGAGAAAGUCUUUGUACACGUGAUUCUUGUACCGAACUUGUCAUAUCUUGCAAUAGAUUCACGU